rnacentral:rRNA from 1 species
UACGUAGGCGGCAAGCGUUGUUCGGAAUUACUGGGCGUAAAGGGCGCGUAGGCGGCCUUCUAAGUCGAACGUGAAAUCCCCGGGCUCAACCCGGGAACUGCGUCCGAUACUGGAAGGCUUGAAUCCGGGAGAGGGAUGCGGAAUUCCAGGUGUAGCGGUGAAAUGCGUAGAUAUCUGGAGGAACACCGGUGGCGAAGGCGGCAUCCUGGACCGGCAUUGACGCUGAGGCGCGAAAGCCAGGGGAGCAAACGGG